CCUUGGUGGGGUCCCUAGGUUUAAGAUCUUUGAUUAACUGCUAUUUUGCUAAACAAGUAAAGAAAACAAUAUAUUCAUUUAUUUUUGCAAACAGUUGACCUCAGAAUAUGUCGCAAUGGCAGUGGUUUCUCUCUGCUUGGCAAGUCACUCUCUUCUCUCUCAACCCAUUCCUCAGAAGAAGUUUCUCCUUCUCUGCUUGCUGAAGAUUGUCAUCAAAUGCAGUGUUCCUGGUCACGUGUGGGAGAGAUCCUGACAGACGCCAGCAAGCAUCCAAACACUCAGAAAUGCAAGUAUUGAAGACAAGUAUGACCUAUUUGUCAGCAUUUGUAUCCUACCAGUGUCCACUGUCCGGCUCCAGCAGCCCGAGUCCAGCAGCACAAGGCAUCUCUGGUCCUUAUGCCCUGCAGAGAAAUCAAAGAAUCCAAGAGCAAGGCCUGGAAUGCCUGGCUGCCUCCCAGCUCUCUUACGAAGAAGUAAAUUCCAUUGUAGUCUCCGGCUCCUUUCCGCACUCUUGGAAUACUGUACGCCAGACCCUCUCUCCCUCCGACAAGCGACUGCUCGGCCACAGCAGGAAGCACAGAAAUCUUAAAACGUAAACUCAGAGUGCUCCCCACAUUUAUUUUCUACCGUCUUACCCGUCUGUCCCGCCAGAGACUGCAGGCGUCGUGACUUUCUCCAUGCUCUGGACUGUCGCAUGGUCCCUGUUGCUAGUGGCUCUUUGAACUGAUCCCAAGCCCAUGUCAGAAAAGCCCUUGAUCGAUUCCCAGUGCCAUCCUGAACAGCAGAUUGGGAUAUCGCACCUUUAAACCGCACGGCCUGGUAAACAAUACAGCAUGUACUCAGCUUCAUAAACACUCCGCGUUGUUACAAAGGGCAUUGCAAACUCAGUGUGAUAGGACUUGACCUUAAAAGCUAUAGACAAUCUAGCGGAGCACAGACGGUUUCAUAAAGUACAAUCACUUCCUGGAAUUCUUGGGCCAGUGCAGUCGGAGCCGUUCAAAUCCUGUUUUCCUUGCAUUGUUUCCUGCAUGUGAAUAUCAUCAGUCUAGCUGGACUGUAACCAUGGCACUUGUAAACAGCCCAGGGGCGACUUCUGAUAAAGGCAUACAGUUUUAAGAAAAAAAAUUUUUUUUUCUCUUAAAGACAAGCCCGAAUCAAACCCUACAAAUGCCAUCUGUCAACUACAAAGCUGACAAAUUGCAGUUUCAAGAGUGCACACAUCCAGACCCAGAGAUGUUUUUAAGUCACCAAAGGAGUCAAAACAGAUGCCCAUACUAUUGAGAGUAGUGUGAACGGGUUUUCACUUUUUAGAAUGUAGAUUUACACAAAUCCCGUAGAGAGGGAGCUGAUGGACACUGACCGGAAUCCUAAGUGAUUCUUUCCAUAGUAUUUUUCUCCUCCAGUGAAUGAGAUUGGGAAAUCAUAAUUGUUCAGUCCUUCAGUUUCUCUGAUCAGUGAUAGGAAGAGAAGAUAUUGAUGUAAACCCCUUGAAAUACUUAGCUUAAGACUGUUACUCUCUAGGAGUUUGACAUCACUGUUGGGCAAUUACAUUCCAGCUGUAUUUGGUACUUGAUGGGUUCCAAUUUAUACUUAGAGAUGAUAUUAAGGGGCAGACAGGCCAAAAUAGACCACUGUAACCUCACAGAAAAUCAAUCCAAAGAUAUACUUUCCAGAUUCGCUAUAAAUGUAUAAAAUUUGCACCUGGUGAAUUAAUCUUGAUACUUCAGGCUUCUGCAUGAUUGAAAUGUUGGUUGAGCUGACGUUGUAAGUUAAAAAUUUUUAGCAGAUUUAAUAUAUGAUGGCUAUUGAACAAGAUACUGACAACAGUAUUUUAAGCUUCUGAGAAGGAUUCCUUAAGGGAGGAAUAAAGAAAAGAGAAGCUCAUAAAACUCUCAGUUAUGUAUUCAUAGACACCUAUGUUUGAUUUUCUAAGAUUAAAACUAAAUUAUUCUUAAAAUAAGUAAUGGGGGAGCAUAUACAGCAGAGGGAGGAUAUUAAAUACUGCAUUGUAUAUUUGCUAAGUUGUGUUGUUGCUAGGAGCGUAGAUCUUUUUUUUUUAAGGUAUUUUUAUUUAUUUAUGAUAGUCACAGAGAGAGAGAGAGAGAGAGGCAGAGACACAGGCAGAGGAAGAAACAGGCUCCAUGCUCCGGGAGCCCGACGUGGGAUUCGAUCCUGAGUCUGCAGGAUCGCGCCCUGGGCCAAAGGCAGGCGCUAAACCGCUGCGCCACCCAGGGAUCCCAGGAGGGUAGAUCUUAAAAAUUUUCAUCACAAGAAAAAAAAUUUGUAACUAUGUAUGGUGAUGGAUGUUAAGUAGAUUUAUUGUGGUGUCAUUUUGCAACAUUUACAAAUAUCAACUUACUAUGUUAUGUGCCUGAAGCUAACAUAAUGUUGUAUGUCAAUUGUAUCUCAGUAAAAUCAAAUAAAUAAAACUUUGAAUUAUUUCUAUUUCUAAAUUUUAUUUUAUUUAUUUAUUUUUUUGAAGAUUUUAUUUAUUUAUUCAUGAGCGACAAGAGAGAGGCAGAGAUACAGGCAGAGGGAGAAGCAGGCUUCCUGUGGGGAGCCUUAUGCAGAACUAGAUCCCAGGACCCGGGGAUCAUGACCAGAGCCAAAGGCAGACGCUCAACCCCUGAGCCACCUAGGUGCCCCUCUAUUUCUAAAUUUUAAAUUAAACUCAGUAAUAUAUGGUUAAUAUUUUCAUGUGAAUUUCAAGAAUCAUUUCAAAGCCUUUGGGUAAAAAUUAAAUC
rnacentral:lncRNA from 1 species